AGCUGCGUUAGAGCGACCCGCAGUAGCAAUUACUUUACAUCCAGUAAGUAGCGGCUCAAGAGCAUAGGCCCUUGGCCUCAGGGCAAGCAGCCGUGACCCUGUGAGACCACAGCCCUCGGUGCCUGCAGCUUCCUCAUGGCGAGACCUCGAGGGAAGGGAAGUCCAGAGGGAAAAGGAUGUCAAAGUCCCGCUGUCCAGUGUCAUCACAUUCAAAUCCUGCAGUGAUGUGUAAGUAUCUCACCUCUACAUUUUCUAUUGCAGUAGAACAGCUGUGUGAAAACUGUUGUGAACACCUCACGAAUACUAAAAAUGUGUUCUUCAGUGAACUAUCAUUAGGCAUUUUA